rnacentral:lncRNA from 1 species
UAUUCUCCAAGAAGUCAUGGACAGAAUGCCAGAUCUACUUUAAAAUGAUGUAUCAUCUAUCAAUCUCAUUGGUCCAUACAUUUGCUCUUAAAAUGUAUUUCUGCCUUUCAUUUUAUUAUUUUCAGAAUGGUGUUUUAAGAGCAAAUGGUGAUCACUAAACUAUUUUUUUUACCCUACUUUUGGUUUUAAUUUCAAGUAAAGAGA